rnacentral:rRNA from 1 species
ACAAUGGGCGCAAGCCUGAUCCAGCCAUGCCGCGUGUGUGAUGAAGGCCUUCGGGUUGUAAAGCNCUUUAUGCNGGGAGGAAGGCGAUNNGNUUAAUACCNNNNGGNAUUGACGUUACCCNCAGAAUAAGCACCGGCUAACUNCGUGCCAGCAGCCGCGGUAAUACGGAGGGUGCAAGCGUUAAUCGGAAUUACUGGGCGUAAAGCGCGCGUAGGCGGUUAGUUAAGUCAGAUGUGAAAUCCCCGGGCUCAACCUGGGAACUGCAUUUGAAACUGGCAAGCUAGAGUAUGGUAGAGGGGGGUGGAAUUUCCCGGUGUAGCGGUGAAAUGCGUAGAUAUCUGGAGGAACACCGGUGGCGAAGGCGACCCCCUGGACC